UUACGGUGCUAUUUGUACCUUUAGACUGUGCGGAGAGUGAAGAGAAACAAAUAAAUGUUCGCAUAGGGCAGGGCAGCCGAGAAAAAAAUAGUGCCAUUUAGUUAAGCUGCUGUUUUCUUAACCGCUCGAAAGGAUAUUUUUUUGCAGUACUUCUUCCUGAGUCUUUGCUACUUUGCACUGAACGAGCACCACUUGCAUCCAGUGCCAAGUCUGUGGGGCCUCACGAACUGCAUAGGGUUACUCCAUGAUGUUGACUCAUAACAAUGGAAAACUGGAGGCAAGGAAACAAAGUCUGUGGUGUGGAUCAUUGACACGUCUACAGUAAGAGCUCACCCCCCUCACUCAGAGCAGGGGCUGGGAUAUGCCUCGCCAAAACCACUGUAGCAACUGUACUUCUCGUUCAAGAAUGAUACUCAGAAAUGCUGCCUGACACGCUGAGGGAUUCCAGCAUUUUCUGUUUCUCUCUCAGCAUUUGAAGUUCAAUAUUGCAUCAGGACGGUUGUUGAGCAGCUCCAUGUCAGGAGGGACAUCUACAUCUUCUUCCACAUGGUCUGGCUUCACUCCUGUUACUGGUUCUGAGAUCUUUCAUGUUGAGAACACAGAGUCCGUUACAAGGCAGCAGUGUAAUUUGUGUCAUAAUUCAAUUAGUCCAUCUACACUUCACGCUACCUCAGCAAUGCCACCAGGAACUAGUUUGGAGGAUGUUAGUAAAAAUACAACUACUGCUGUUUGCAGUAGACUUUUUUGCUCAAGCAGCCUUUUAAGAAAGGCAGAAGGAGAAGAGCAAGGAUGAAGAGGAAGCACAAGAAGAGGUCUCAAUGGGUGAAUGGAGAUGAUGUGAUGGACUGUCCCAGUACACCAGAUGACUGGAGGAGAGUGGCGCUGGGCUUUGACAAAAGAUGGAACUUUAAGCACACAUGUGGGGCAGUGGAGGGCAUUCUUGUCCCUGUCCAUGUACCCCUCAUUUUUCUUUUCGUACAGGAUGGCAUUCUGCUGGAACCAUUCCUCAAGGUCCCCCCCCUGCUGCCUGGUGAAGGUGUAGGGCAUAACCUUCCUCCAGCCCUCCCUCACCACCAAUGGGGCAUCUGCCUCUGAUGCUGUGUCAGACACAGGAGAAAGGGCUGAUUUGCAGCCUUCAAAUGAGUCAGUGAAGGAUGGGGUGGUGGUGGGGACAUAUACUACCACCCUGGUCUCCUCCUCCAGGGGUCUCUCAUGCAGGGCUACCUCCUCCUGCACUAUCACCUCCCGUGGCAUCACCUCCUGUCACUUCUCCUGGGUGGGCAACACCUGCAUGGCAGUUUUUUUUUAGAGUUGAGCCCUCCUGUGCUGCUGCCAUUUUGGUGCCAUCUCUAAAACACCAAGUCGCCUCUCCAAAAAACUCUCCAGCUAUGAAUGAACAUGCCUUGGAGUGACAGAGGUGACGUUCUGCUGUUUAAAUCACCUUUCCUUUCCACUGACGUUUUUUUUCGCCCCAGAGCUAUUACCUUUGACUACCUUCGACCACCUUUGGCUACCUACGACUGGCUACGACGACCUACGACGAUAAAAAUAUCGAUUUUUCCCACGGCGACCUAUUUUUAGUCACGGCCAAUUUUUAACAUCUCGAAAAAUUCGCCGUGACCUAGCUGAAGCCUCGACUAUGCGGAACAACUUUCGACCAUGAAGGAGAGUGAGGAAAACCUCCUACGACCUCAUGGCGACUUUCCCACGACUAUGAAAAGCGGGCAAGAUCGCCAGAGGUCGCGGUGGAGGUCGCUCAAGUGGGACAGGGGCUUAAGGCAGCAACUCUACUGCUGCGCUACCGUGCCGCCCGUUAUAACAACAUUUUGAUAAUCUUGUGUAUCAAUAUUAGAUGCAUAUAAAAUUAGAAGAUAUUUUGCUGCAUUUAAUGUCAUUUUAUUAGGUCGGCAGUCUUUUAGAUCAGUUAGAAUGGCAAUUACCUCAACACAGCAUUUCCAUGGCUGCAUAGAAAUCUCACUCAGUGAAUUUUAAAGUCUUGUCCUUUUAUGGGCAAGACCCAAUGAAUAAGCUUAUCAGUGGAAUGCUGUUUAAAGCUGGACUAUUACAUUCUUAUAUAUUGUACCAACUAUAAUAUUAAAUAAUAAAGAAAGAAUGAUUACAAACCAUUUUUUUCAAGACUAUUAUGUAGAAGCAUGAUCAGAAAAAUAUGAAGUAUAAUCUCCAACUAUUUUGGAUCUGAAAUCUUUCUUCAACUGUAUUUAAAGUCUAGCAACUUGAGUUUCUUUAUUGAAUUCAUAGCAGGAAAUGCGAUGGCUUUUAUCUGUCCAGACCCUUCCCCUCCCCAGGCAAGCUUGACUCCGGUUCGAACACAAUAAUGGAUAUUUCGCGACCCUAAGGAGAUCUUUAGGAUAGGGAACCUGACCUAUAACGUCACCCGUCCAUUCCCUUCACAGAUGCUGCCCGCACUGUUCCUCCAGCACUUUGUGCCUUGUACAAGAUGAUAAGUGUUGCCACAGUGCAUCUCCACACUCGUGAUAAUAAUAGACCAAUAUUAAUACCAGAAUGAAACCGGAGAAAGGUGCAUGUUUAGGACCAUGAAGAUGAUUAAAGGGAGGAUUGAUUCAGUGGUCGUAGGAAUGAGAGGCAAGCGUUAGAACCUAGCGCAGAAAACAUCCAUGAAUUCUAUGCACGUGAAUGCAGGAGCGAAAUUCAGGUUCUGUACGAUGGCAUAGCAAUGAGCGACUGCCUUACACAACCAGAGACCCGGGUUCGAUCCUGACUAUGGGUGCUUGUCCAUACGGAGUUUGUACGUUCUCCCCGUGAUCAGCGUGGGUUUUUUCCGAGAUUUUCGGUUUCCUCCCACACUUCAAAGGCGUACAGGUGUGUAGGUUAAUUGGCUUGGUAAAAAAGUAAAAUUGUCCGUAGUGUGUGUGGGGCAGUGUUAAUAUGUGGGGAUCAAUGGUCGGCGCGGAUUCGGUGGGCCGAAGGUCCAGUUUCUGCACUGUAUCUCUAAAGUAAACUAAACUAAGAACAGAAUGCUUUAAAGAAGUGCAUUAAGCAAUGUUGGGGUAUGGAUAUUGUUUGCAUUCCUGGAUAAAGACUCGUGGCAAAGAUAAUUUUACUCUAUGCUUAAUUUUCACUGUUGAGUUUAUUCAUAAUAUGUU